ACCCAUCUGACGAGUCCAAAAUAGGACGAAACGCACGUCUUGGAU
rnacentral:hammerhead_ribozyme from 1 species